AUAUUGGAGGGCAAGUCUGGUGCCAGCAGCCGCGGUAAUUCCAGCUCCAAUAGCGUAUAUUAAAGUUGUUGCGGUUAAAAAGCUCGUAGUUGGAUCUCAGCUCACGCUAAGUGGUCCACUUAAUGGUGGUUACUACUUAGCUGAGCAUUUUACAGAUUUGUCUCUUGAUGCUCUUCACCGAGUGUCAAGAGUGGUCUGUACGUUUACUUUGAAAAAAUUAGAGUGCUUAAAGCAGGCAACUCGCCCGAAUAAUCUUGCAUGGAAUAAUGGAAUAGGACCUUGGUUCUAUUUUGUUGGUCUCCGGAAUCUGAGGUAAUGAUUAAGAGGGACAGACGGGGGCAUUCGUAUUGCGCCGCUAGAGGUGAAAUUCUUGGACCGGCGCAAGACGAACUACAGCGAAAGCAUUUGCCAAGAAUGUUUUCAUUAAUCAAGAACGAAAGUUAGAGGUUCGAAGGCGAUCAGAUACCGCCCUAGUUCUAACCAUAACGAUGCCAAAA
rnacentral:rRNA from 1 species